GGUUUGAUUCUGGCUCAGAUUGAACGCUGGCGGGAUGCUUUACAUGCAAGUCGAACGGCAGCACGGACUUCGGUCUGGUGGCGAGUGGCGAACGGGUGAGUAAUGUAUCGGAACGUGCCUAGUAGCGGGGAUAACUACGCGAAAGCGUAGCUAAUACCACGCAUACGCCCUUCAAGGAAAGCGGGGGACCUUCGGGCCUCGCACUAUUAAAACGGCCGAUAUCGGAUUAGCUGGUUAAUUGGGAGUAACGGCUCCGCCAAGGCGACGAUCCGUAGCUGGUUUGAGAGGACGACCAGCCACUGGGACUGAGACACGGCCCAGACUCCUACGGGAGGCAGCAGUGGGGAAUUUUGGACAAUGGGGAAACCCUGAUCCAGCCAUCCCGCGUGUGCGAUGAAGGCCUUCGGGUUAUGCAAAGCACUUUGGCAGGAAGAAACGGCGGGAUAAUACCCCGUGCAACUGACAGUACCUGCAGAAUAAGCACCGGCUAACUACGUGCCAGCAACCGCGGUAAUACGUAAGUGCAAGCGUUAAUCGAGAUUUACUGGGCGUAAAGCGUGCAUAGCGACGGUUCAGAAGAAAGAUGUGAAAUCCCAGAGCUUAGCUUUGGAACUGCAUUUUUAACUACCGAGCUAGAGUGUGUGUCAGGAAGUGGAAUUCCGCGAUGUAGCAGUGAAAUGCGUAGAUAUGCGGAGAACACACCGAUGGCGAAGGCAGCCUCCUGGGAUAACACUGACGCUCAUGCACGAAAGCGUGGGAGCAAACAGGAUUAGAUACCCUGGUAGUCCACGCCCUAAACGAUGUCAACUAGCUGUUGGGGCCUUCGGGCCUUGGUAGCGCAGCUAACGCGUGAAGUUGACCGCCUGGGGAAAUACGGUCGCAAGAUUAAAACUCAAAGGAAUUGACGGGGACCCGCACAAGCGGUGGAUGAUGUGGAUUAAUUCGAUGCAACGCGAAAAACCUUACCUACACUUGACUGUCUGGAAUCGAAGAGAUUUGGGAGUGCUCGCGAAGAGAACCGGAACACAGGUGCUGCAUGGCUGUCGUCAGCUCGUGUCGUGAGAUGUUGGGUUGAUCCCGCAACGAGCGCAACCCUUGUCAUUAGUUGCUACGAAGGCACUCUAAUGAGACUGCCGGUGACAAACCGGAGGAAGGUGGGGAUGACGUCAAGUCCUCAUGGCCCUUAUGGGUAGGGCUUCACGUCAUACAAUGGUCGGGACAGAGGGUCGCCAACCCGCGAGGGGGAGCCAAUCCCAGGAAAACUUGAUCGUAGUCCGGAUCGCAGUCUGCAACUCGACUGCGUGAAGUCGGAAUCGCUAUUAAUCGCGGAUCCGGCAUGUCGCGGUGAAUACGUUCCCGGGUCUUGUACACACCGCCCGUCACACCAUGGGAGUGGGUUUUACCAGAAGUAGUUAGCCUAACCGUAAGGAGGGCGAUUACCACGGUAGGAUUCAUGACUGGGGUGAAGUCGUAACAAGGUAG
rnacentral:rRNA from 1 species